rnacentral:rRNA from 1 species
CCUACGGGAGGCAGCAGUGAGGAAUAUUGGUCAAUGGACGAGAGUCUGAACCAGCCAUGUAGCGUGAAGGAUGACUGCCCUCUGGGUUGUAAACUUCUUUUAUAAAGGGAUAAAACGAGGCACGUGUGCCUUUUUGCAUGUACUUUAUGAAUAAGGAUCGGCUAACUCCGUGCCAGCAGCCGCGGUAAUACGGAGGAUCCGAGCGUUAUCCGGAUUUAUUGGGUUUAAAGGGAGCGUAGAUGGGUUGUUAAGUCAGUUGUGAAAGUUUGCGGCUCAACCGGAAAAUUGCAAUUGAUACUGGCAGGCUUGAGUACAGUAGAGGUAGGCAGAAUUCGUGGUGGAGCGGUGAAAUGCUUAGAGAUCACGAAGAACCCCGAUGGCGAAGGCAGCUUACUAAACUGUGACUGACAUUGAUGCUCGAAAGUGUGGGUAUCAAACAGGAGUAGAUACCCUUGUAGUC